rnacentral:rRNA from 1 species
UACGGAGGGGACUAGCGUUGUUCGGAAUUACUGGGCGUAAAGCGUGUGUAGGCGGUUUGGUAAGUCGGAUGUGAAAGCCCCGGGCUCAACCCGGGAAGUGCACUCGAUACUGCCAAGCUAGAGUAUCGGAGAGGUUGGUGGAAUUCUCGGUGUAGAGGUGAAAUUCGUAGAUAUCGAGAGGAACACCGGUGGCGAAGGCGGCCAACUGGACGAAUACUGACGCUGAGACUCGAAAGCGUGGGGAGCAAACAGG